AACGAACGCUGGCGGCAGGCCUAACACAUGCAAGUCGAACGCCCCGCAAGGGGAGUGGCGCACGGGUGAGUAACGCGUGGGAAUAUGCCCUUCGGUUCGGAAUAACUCAGGGAAACUUGGGCUAAUACCGGCUACGGACUACGGUCGAAAGAUUUAUCGCCGAGGGAGUAGCCCGCGUAGGAUUAGCUAGUUGGUGAGGUAAUGGCUCACCAAGGCGACGAUCCUUAGCUGGUCUGAGAGGAUGAUCAGCCACACUGGGACUGAGACACGGCCCAGACUCCUACGGGAGGCAGCAGUGGGGAAUAUUGGACAAUGGGGGCAACCCUGAUCCAGCCAUGCCGCGUGAGUGAUGAAGGCCUUAGGGUUGUAAAGCUCUUUCGUCGGGGAAGAUAAUGACGGUACCCGAAGAAGAAGCCUCGGCUAACUCCGUGCCAGCCGCCGCAGUAA
rnacentral:rRNA from 1 species